GAGACAGAAGCCCGGUGGGGGUGGAUUUGGGCAGAGAACGUGGAUUUCCCCAGAACGUGAUUGCAGACGGCUGGUAUGAGUUCGGGAAUAAAGAGUUGCUGUUUGAAUCUACAAGCUGUGUGGUGGCUCGUGAUUGUGUGCCCAGCCAGACUGCGGCAAUUGGUGUCUUGUGGAGGAAGUCACUUCCUGAGCCAACAUGAUGGAGAUUUGGGACUACCUUUCCUUCUGCUGUUACCAUCAGAGAACCCAAGCAAAUGGCUCAUGGGAUAG